AGGACUUGCUGCUAAGGGUGAAGGACCAAGGCAGGCAUCCCUGUGUGGUCUGACACCCCGUGUCCCUGCAAUGAUUAAACACCAAGAGAAGGCUGCCUUUCCAGUCCAUGACCGGCGCCAGAGUUUUGGGUCCACGGGUAAAACGUGUCUCCUUUGUUUCUACCAGAAAAUGAAAGGAAUUGAAAUGAAGAGAAGGGAGAGAUUGAAGUGUGGC
rnacentral:lncRNA from 10 species